AGAACUGACCAAUCAGAAAACACACGCUUUCCGCAACUUGGGGCAUAUUUUAAGAUCAACUCAAACUGUCAAUGCGUUAUUUAAAUCUCUACCUUCCUACAUACACGAAGAAUAUUUGCCGAAAGCGAAAUAUAUCUUUCACUUUUUCGAUAACAUGUUCAGACAUGAACAUUUUUCUGUUAAUGCGAUUGAGAAACAUAGAACAAAUGUUGGUGGUUUUAAUUCACCAUGAUGGAGGACUUAUAUAAAUAAAGAAAUUGAUUAUUGACCACGAUGAAAACGUAUUUGGCUUUUGUUCACCAUUCCCUUGAGGAUGAGGUAUUUACGAAUUGAUAUUCUACUUCGUCUGAAUUGCUUUAUAACUGAGGAAAUAUUAAGAUGAUCACGAUUCUUGUCUCAACAGCUGCAUGUUCGAAAGACAAGUCACUUUUAACCAAAGAUUUAUGAUGAUUAAUAAAAUUACGCCAUUAUCAAACGCUCAAAUUUUGACAUUUUUUAAUGUGAAAAUCUUGUGGAAUGAAAACAUGGAAUUUAUCUUUAUGAAAAAAACAAAUUAUAAAAAUCCUAAUUUUCUUA